UACAGAGGUCCCGAGCGUUGUUCGGAUUCAUUGGGCGUAAAGGGUGCGUAGGCGGCGGGGUAAGUUUGAUGUGAAAUCCCGGGGCUCAACCCUGGAAUUGCAUUGAAUACUACCUUGCUAGAGUACCGGAGAGGAAACUGGAAUUUACGGUGUAGCAGUGAAAUGCGUAGAGAUCGUAAGGAAGACCAGUGGCGAAGGCGAGUUUCUGGACGGUAACUGACGCUGAGGCACGAAGGACCAGGGGAGCAAACGGG
rnacentral:rRNA from 1 species